rnacentral:rRNA from 1 species
UACGUAGGGGGGCAAGCGUUGUCCGGAAUUAUUGGGCGUAAAGCGCGCGCAGGCGGUCGAUUAAGUCUGGUGUUUAAUCCUGGGGCUCAACUCCGGGUCGCACUGGAAACUGGUAGACUUGAGUGCAGAAGAGGAGAGUGGAAUUCCACGUGUAGCGGCGAAAUGCGUAGAGAUGUGGAGGAACACCAGUGGCGAAGGCGACUCUCUGGGCUGUAACUGACGCUGAGGCGCGAAAGCGUGGGGAGCAAACAGG